GGGUUGUGACAUGUGGAGUGUAUAUCUGGCGUAUGACACUUGAUUCAAUUCUCAUUAAUAAAAUAAAAUAAUGAGUUGAAUUCUGAUACAAUAGGUAGAUUCCUAGGCCUCCAUAUAGCCAAAUAGUAAUAGUUGUUGGUUAGCCUAUACACCCAAUUCUGGUUGUAGCUCUUACAAAAGUGGAGAUGGUUUUUGAAGACAAAGUGUUAAGUUUGGGA
rnacentral:lncRNA from 1 species